rnacentral:misc_RNA from 1 species
AUUUUAAUUUAGCUAAAGCUAAACAUGUUUGAUUUGUGAGAAGUCGAGUGUGACACGUGAGACGUGUAGUAGGCAAGAGAUAGAGAUAAAAUCGCCGCCGCACCCAGCUCCGCAACGCGCACCUCCCUUUCCCCAACUCGAUCUCGCACCUAGGGUUUCGUCUCGUCGCUCUCGUCCUCCGCGAAGAUGCCGAAGAACAAGGGUAAGGGAGGCAAGAACCGGAAGCGAGGAAAGAACGAGGCUGACGACGACAAGCGCGAGCUCGUCUUCAAGGAAGACGGGCAGGAGUACGCGCAGGUGACCCGGAUGCUCGGCAACGGGCGGUGCGAGGCCAUCUGCGUCGAUGGCACGCGCCGCCUCUGCCAUAUCCGGGGUAAGAUGCACAAGAAGGUCUGGAUCGCGGCUGGGGACAUCGUCCUCGUCGGCCUCCGCGACUACCAGGACGACAAGGCCGACGUUAUCCUCAAGUACAUGAACGACGAGGCGCGCCUGCUCAAGGCCUACGGGGAGCUUCCUGACACGCUCAGGCUCAACGAGGGCGUCGACGUCGAUGGGCCCGAGGAAGGCGAGGAGGGCAGCGACUACAUCCAGUUCGAGGACGAGGACAUCGACAAGAUCUAAGAAAUCUGUUCCUGCUUACGGCUACCUGUAUUGUUACGUGACGUGUUCUUCUGCUUCUGCUUGCGGCUACCUUUAUUGUUACGUGACGUGUACUGGUAUGUUGUGGUAUGGUUUAGCCUGGGUUAUCUUGUAAAAGGAUCUGAAGUGGUUAAAUAAUCGUGGGUAAUUUCGUUUUUAAUCUGGUACAUGCUGUUACAAGGUGUUCUGUACUAAGCUAUUAUUGUUCUGAAUUGUGUUCUCCUGUCUUGAUUGAUUUGCCAAUUAGACCCAGUUUUUAUUGAGUCUAAUAUUUUCGAAACGUAGUGAAUUACUGAGGUAAUCAGAAUCUAAAAUCCAAUCAAUCAUACUAUUUGAUUCAUGAAUUCAUACAAGAGGAUUUGUUUACCUUUUUUAUGAUACGCAGAUUACAGGGUUCAUCAAAUUAGUCGUUGGUGGCUGCUGUUUGUGGUGUGAGGCCAGCUUUUGCUUGUUCAUCUGAACAAGAACUCUGUAUUUUGUACACUGUGGAUCAGGAAUCGCCGUCCUUGUUUGUGUAGAAAUCUUUUCGGUCCAGCUUGUGUUCUCAUGUCCUUUUGUGUGUCUUGUAUUUUAUUGUGGUAGGAUUCAAUGACGUUUGAAUCGGUGUUGGACUGGCUAUUCUUUAAUCUGCCUGGCAAUGAACUCCCCCUCAAGUAAUCCAACGCUGGCACCAGCACCACUUCCUCUCUUGCAGAGCAAAGUUUACAUCAUUGAUCCUUUGCCUGCAUUCUGUGAUUUACUUGUUUAUAUGUGACGUGGCUGUCACACCCAAGGCCACUGGUGAGAUCAACCUGACUAUGUGAGCAAUCACAUGGAUAAUCGGAGAAGUGGAUCUCGAUAGGGAGCAGGAAGGUUUGCUUCCUUUCCUUUGUUUGUCUUAUAUAUUUCUCUUCUGUUUGAUGCUUCUUUCCCUGAUGUGGAUCCAUUAUGUAGCCUAGACCUUAGGCUUCCUCUUCAGAUGUUAUUUCGGCCAAUACUAUUGAUGAUUCAUGAACUUGCUGGAGCUGAAGGUUCUGUUGUUGUAUCGUCCAUAGUCAAGGACAAUUGGGUGUCACAGAGUUGUGAACCUUAGGAGGUGAAGGUGUGCACUGAGUUGUUGGAAGUUAGAAUCGGUGGCCGGAGAGAAGAGAAUGUGUCACCGGAUGAUGGGCUGUUGUCGCAAGUUGCAUGGAUUGGUCAAUACAGGGAACAGCAAGAGAGGGAUACUGGUAAAAUGCUGAAAGCUGUUCUACGAAAAAGUUGUCAAAAACUUGGUUGGAGAGCACCACAAAAUAUCCGAGAGAGAUGGCAAAUUUGUAUAUUCUCUGUUAAUGUGUUAUGGGGAGGUACUGGCUGUGGGUGAAAGUAGGAAGGCUGGAGAAUCCAGUUACCUGAACUGGAUGAAGAAUAUGGAUAUGUUCAGGAAGCACAAAGUCGGGUUGCGGCUUUUGCUCUAUAUCAGUAAUCAGUUCAUUGCUGACCUUCCACUACGGCAACUGCUAACUGAGCCAUACUCAUCACUUAUUUUAAUAUGGCAAGACGGUUGGAGCUACAGACUGCAUCAUAAUGGGUCUGGUCUUCGAGCUACAAAUUGCAUAUUUUUAUGAAACAGGCGAAUUGUCGUCAGCAUCAAGGGUGCUGGGUACCGAGGAUCAGGCUUUGUAGAUAUAUUAUUUAAUACAGCUGCAGACACAAUUCCUUCAUCUGAAAUAGAAGUGGUGGCAAGUCUGUAGAUUCUGAGAAUACUGGAGGCAGCAAAUCUUGGAAGGUUGUCCACUCAUGACAGACAUUACUUCCUCGGCAGUGGGCGUCAGUAAGGGAAUCAAACCGGAUCGUUGCCAUCCUUGGGUUUUUUUUUGUGCUACAGUGUGUGCAUGUAUGCAUCAGAUAUAAAUAAGGUAAUGUCUUGAUCGCUAGUGGGUCAUUUCAACUGGUGUGUUGAAGCAUAUGGAUCUCUUCGCUGCUUUGGUUUCGUUCGUGGACUAACCUGCAUGUAUGGAUCUCUUCGCCGCCUAGGAGAGUCACUUCUGGGAGUAAUAUGGUUGUUUCUGUUGCCUCUGAUGCUAAGCUUCGUCAAGUUGCAAACGAUUUUUACAUAAUUAACCGAUUGCAAACUUUGGUGAAGAUUCUUGUGAGACUUGUCUUCGUCGAGUUGCAAACAGCUUGGAAUUCUGAUCUCUAAAGAAAUGGCGGCCGUGUUUUUUAUAAUGGAUCAAGAACAGAAUGUCACAGGCCAGCAAGACGCUCAUAUUGUCCGUCGCUCUCCUCGUGUAGAAAACAAGAGAAAGCAAUUAGAUAAAAAUGAAUUGAAGGAAAUGAGGAAGAGGUUAAGGUUGAAAGUCCCUCCUAUACAAGAUACCGAAAGUGAUGAUGAACAAGACCCAGAGUUUGUUCCUGGUGGCGAUGGUUCUGGCGAUGACAAUGUUGGUAUUGUUGGUGGUGAUGAAAAUAAGGGUAUAACUAAGACACGAGCUAUACGAUGCUCACCUGGGAAGUUUAUAAAGCUUGUGAAUGCUCUAUCUGAUGAAUUGAAAAGUGAAGUAGUUGCUAAGGGGUUUGGCGGCCUGCUGAGAUUCAAGCCGCACUUAUUGUCCAGAAAGUUGCUCAGCUGGCUGAUGCGGAAGCUUAACCCAGAAACGAUGAAAUUAGAGAUUGGUGGUGGAAAAGAGAUUCCAAUCAUUGAGCACAGUGUUUGGUGUGUUUUGCAGUUACCAAACGUUGGCAGUGAUCCGCCCCCCAUGUCUGAUGCAGAUGCUCGUGCCUUGCGGGACGAGCUGGGGGAGCAAAUUUGUGGCAAAUCUUAUAGACGCAUAUCUGGUAUCAAUAUAUCUGUUAUCACUGAUAGACUGCAGAAGAGGAUUCUCACUGGGGAGCUGGGCCUGAGAGCCUUUUUCAUGGCAGCAUUUCAGUGUCUGCUAUUCUCCAACACUGACACUCGCAUCAGGAUUGAUGAUGUAAAGUACACUCAGGACAUUCAGAACAUGGGCAACAAGAACUGGUGCAAAGAUGUAGUAGACAGGCUCAACAUAGCUGCUCGUCUUUAUAGAAAGGAUUUUGCGGAGAAAGGCAUUAACGCACCCAUCAGUGGAUGCGGGAUCUUCGUAGCUAUGCUUUAUGUCGACAACCUGCAGCAUAGAUUUGACACAAGUCCUUUUUCAAUCCGUCGAUGUGCUUUCUUGGACUCCAAGAUGAUUGAUGCGAUAGCAAAUAAGGAUCUCAGGGGAGAUGUUCCUCCUGGCACCACUGAGUUUGGACACCUCAGG